rnacentral:rRNA from 1 species
UAUUUUGACUAUACAAAGGUAUUGUAAUAAGAUUUUAAUUGAAUGCUAAAAGAAUGGAAGUUUAGAAAAAGUCUUUUUAAAAAAUAAAAAUUAAAAUUUUUUUAAUUUGUGCAGAAACAAUUAUUUAUAUUAAAGACAAGAAGACCCUAAGAAUUUUCUGGUUCAAUAAUUUAUAUAUUUAAUUUAUUAAACCUUGGUUGGGGCGAUCAAAAAAUAUUAAUAACUUUUUUUCAUUAAAAUGAUCUAUUAUUAAUAAAUUAAUGAAUUAAAUACUCUAGGGAUAACAGCGUAAUAAUUUUUGAUAGAUCUUAUAGACAAAAUAGUUUGCGACCUCGAUGUUGGAUUAGGAUUCUUUUUUGGUGAAGAAACCAAAAAAAGAAGUUUGUUCAACUUUUAAACUCCU